rnacentral:rRNA from 1 species
UACGUAGGGUGCGAGCGUUGUCCGGAAUUACUGGGCGUAAAGAGCUCGUAGGUGGUUUGUCGCGUUGUUCGUGAAAUUCCCUGGCUUAACUGGGGGCGUGCGGGCGAUACGGGCAGACUGGAGUACUGCAGGGGAGACUGGAAUUCCUGGUGUAGCGGUGGAACGCGCAGAUAUCAGGAGGAACACCGGUGGCGAAGGCGGGUCUCUGGGCAGUAACUGACGCUGAGGAGCGAAAGCGUGGGGAGCGAACAGG